rnacentral:misc_RNA from 1 species
UUUCCCAACCAAGAAAUCGAUAAUAAACCCACGAAAACAAGAUGAAAUAAGCAUUGUCUUAUAAAGUAUAUUGAAUGAACGUACCUUUCAGAUGAAUUGAAUAUUUCGAAUAUCCUUGACGGCAGAAAAGCCUGCUGACAGGAACGUAGAAAUUUCACGCUCAAGAAAUCGACAAUAAUCCCACGAAAAAAUAAAAAGGAAAUAAGAAUUAUUUUAUAGUAUGUGGUCUUAACCUACCUUUCGGUUAAAAUAGAAAUUUUCGAUCAUCCCUGACGCCAGAAAAGUCUGCUGACAGGAACGUAGAAAUUUAAUAAUCAAGCAAUCGAUAAUAAACACACGGAAAAAAUUAAUAUAAGCAUAGUGAUAUAAAGUAUGGUGAAUAACCGCACCCUCCAGUUUAAAUUGAAUAUUUUGAACAUCCUUGACGACAGAAAAAACUGCUGACAGGAACGUAGAAAUUCCACAAUCAAGGAAUCAAAAAUAAACACACGUUCAAAAAAAGUUGAAAUAACCAUAGUUAUUUAAAUCUUGUUGAUUAAACGUACCUUUCGUUUUCGAUAGAGAUUUUUGAACGUCCUUGACGGCAGAAAAGUCUGCUGAAAGGCACGCAGAAAUUUCACAAUCAAGGAAUCGAUAAUAAACCCACGCAAAAGACGUGAAUUAAGCACAGUUAUAUAAAGUAGUUCGAAUAAACGUACCUUU